rnacentral:rRNA from 1 species
GACGAACGCUGGCGGCGUGCUUAACACAUGCAAGUCGAACGGAAAGGCUCCAGCUUGCUGGAGUCCUCGAGUGGCGAACGGGUGAGUAACACGUGGGUAAUCUGCCCUGCACUCUGGGAUAAGCCUGGGAAACUGGGUCUAAUACUGGAUAUGACCUUUCUCCUUAUGGGGUUUGGUGGAAAGUUUUUCGGUGUAGGAUGAGCCCGCGGCCUAUCAGCUUGUUGGUGGGGUGAUGGCCUACCAAGGCGACGACGGGUAGCCGGCCUGAGAGGGUGAUCGGCCACAUUGGGACUGAGAUGCGGCCCAGACUCCUACGGGAGGCAGCAGUGGGGAAUAUUGCACAAUGGGCGGAAGCCUGAUGCAGCGACGCCGCGUGGGGGAUGACGGCCUUCGGGUUGUAAACCUCUUUCAGCAGGGACGAAGCGUAAGUGACGGUACCUGCAGAAGAAGCACCGGCUAACUACGUG